rnacentral:rRNA from 1 species
GUGGGGAAUUUUGGACAAUGGGGGAAACCCUGAUCCAGCCAUCCCGCGUGUGCGAUGAAGGCCUUCGGGUUGUAAAGCACUUUUGGCAGGAAAGAAACGCCGCGGGUUAAUACCCUGCGGAACUGACGGUACCUGCAGAAUAAGCACCGGCUAACUACGUGCCAGCAGCCGCGGUAAUACGUAGGGUGCAAGCGUUAAUCGGAAUUACUGGGCGUAAAGCGUGCGCAGGCGGUUCGGAAAGAAAGAUGUGAAAUCCCAGAGCUUAACUUUGGAACUGCAUUUUUAACUACCGAGCUAGAGUGUGUCAGAGGGAGGUGGAAUUCCGCGUGUAGCAGUGAAAUGCGUAGAUAUGCGGAGGAACACCGAUGGCGAAGGCAGCCUCCUGGGAUAACACUGACGCUCAUGCACGAAAGCGUGGGGAGCAAACAGGAUUAGAAACCCUGGUAGUCC